rnacentral:lncRNA from 1 species
AGCCUAGGGAAGAGUAAGGUGUCCGGCCGGGCUGUAUCUCGUGGGUGGCGAGGGAACAUUGCCUGUCUCGGAAACAGUUCCCAAGACAACGCGCAUCCCAGACGCCCGGCGAGGCUGCCUUCCUACAGGAGCGGUCCUAAUCUGCAUAUCCAAGAGCAAUGUAUGUGAACCUACGUUUCCACAGCCUCACCCACAGAAUGUGUGCUCAAACAUUUGGAUUUUUGCCCAUCUACUAGGUCAGCAUUUUACCUAUGGAUGGCAUUUUCUAUUUUCGGUGACGGACUAUGAGCCAGGAUAAACACAUUACUCUCUUCUUUAACAAAAAGAGCAUGGUUAACUCCAAAGACUUCUCUAGACCAGCCUGGAUGGUACCUAAACUUUAAUCAACCAAUGCUCAAGUAAAAGAGCAGUAUCCAGCCCCAGCACACCUAACUGUUUUGCAUAACAUAGGUGAGUAGUGACAUUUUCCUUAUCUUUUCCACUG